UUCCUGUUUUUUCCUUUAUCUUUCUUUUCCCAUUUGUUUUCAAUUUUGGAUUUUUUGUGUGUUUUUUCUAUUUUUUUAAAAGGUUCAUCGUAACCUAUUAAUACGGGAUUUAUUUUUGAAGAUCUCAAUGCGAAAAUCCAAUGACGAAGAUCUCAAUGUGUUUUUUUUCUUUUCGGAUCAUGCGGAGCUGUUGGGCCACGGCCCGCUCAACACGCCUGCGGGCGCUGUAGCUCCCAUCGGCGGUCGGCGCUCCCGUCGUCCUCCACGUCGCCGUCCUUCCUCCGUCUCUCCAAGCUUGUUUUUGCUUCUUUAUAUCUGCACUCCGCGACCUCUCGUGCGCCGGAGUGAACUGGGACCAGCUGGAGAUAGGGUUGAGGGGGCCGAUGGUGGCCGGCGAGCACCGGCGCCGGCAACGGGAGUGAUGGAGGAGGCGGAGGGACAGGCGCCGUUGUGGACAGCGCGCGCGCGGCGGAGCGGGCUGGGGCAGGCGCCGCCUGUCUCUCGGGCUCGGCCCACAUACUUGCACGUGAUUGGUGUAACGUUGUGGAUAAACCAAAGGCAUAUGUAUGCGUCAUCAGAACUUUGUUGUUGGUGAACAUAUUCUUACACCAUCUUCAGGCACCGAGUCGCCAAUCAAGGAUUGUGCUACAAGUGUGAAGUGAUAAUUUUACUGUUUUGAGCACUGAAGCUGACAGGAUUGAAAUUUUGACAACUCAAUUUCAAUCUGUCUACAUAUAUCACCAGAAUACUAGAAAAGGUUGAUUGAGAUCCUCUGCCACGGCAUAACAAAUUUCAGCACAAACAUCAGAAGAUUAGGAAAGGUCGAUGGAACUCUGAAGCGUGAGCUGCCAAUUUCCUGUCAUCCCAAGGUAAUCGUCAGAAGUCACAUUUAUCGCAUAUUGUUCACCCACGCACGAAAUUAUGCAUCAAGUUUAUUUUUCAGUUCUUGUCCAUCUUUAAAAUUCAACGGCAUACUUUCAGUUCGGUUGUCCUAGUUUAUACAUGAUAAAUGACUAUAAAAGUUUGUCCGUAUUUUUUUUAAGGCAACUAGUAGUCUAAUGCAACACAACAGCUAUAGAACGUAGCACAGAAGCAAAGAAAGAGAACAGGAAAUGAGCUAUACGUAGUGACAUCCUCAAGCCUUAUACUUAGCACCAACACCAUGGACACAACCCGAGAAGCAGGAAUAGUGUUGUUGGAUUAAUUAAAAGGUAUCCUGAUGUCGUGAAAAACAAAGAGAAAAUGUCACCCCCUUACCCAACGAUCACUCUUCACCUCACAGGACUAGGAGAAUCGCAGCCCUGUCGAAGAGCAGCCCGUUGCCAUUGCCGCGUCUGAUCGUUUACAGUGCAUGAUCCAAGACAGUGUGUAGUAAUACUCUCGGGUUGUGACUUCUAAUUGGUGACUUAACUUGGGAUGGUGAUGGGAAACUGGCAGCUCACACUUCAGAGUGCCAAGUCCAGACGGUCUCCACCAACCUUCCUAAUCUUCUGUUGUUUGUGUUGAAAUUUGUUAUGCCGUUACAGCAACGGCAGAUGAUCUUCUAAGUAUUAUUUGUAAUAAAUUUGGACCAUUCAGACUUAAAAAGUAAACAGGUACUCCCUCCGUUCCAAAGUAGACGACUCAACUUUGUACUAACUUAAAAUAGUAUAAAGUUGGGUUAUCUAUUUUAGAAUGGAGGGAGUACAUCUAAAGAUGGACUGUUAGAUGCAAAUUUUUCAACAUUCUACACCCAUUGUUGACCGUUACCUAUCAGCGCUUUUUUCAAAUACGUAUUGGAAAUUUGCUGUUGAAAAUCCUACAGAACAGUAUUGCGUCCUGACAAAUUUUCCGCACCAUCUUGUUAGAAUCUGACGGUUUCUUACGGUAGAUUUUUACUGCACGGAAUACUAGAAAAGGUUGACUGAGAUCCUCUGCCAUUGAUGUAACGGCAUAAUAAAUUUCAGCAUGAACAGCAGAAAAUUAGGAAGGUUGAUGUAACUCUGGAGCGAAGCUGCCAAUUUCCUGUCAUCCCAAAGUAAUAGUAAGAAGUCAUAUUUAGAGCGCAUUGUUCAUCCACGCGUGGAAUUAUGCAUCAAGUUUAUUUUUGGGUUCUUGUCCAUCUUUAAAAUUCAACGGUAUACUUUCUGUCUGGUUGUCCCAGUUUACAUGAUAUAAAGUGACUAUAGAAGUUUGUCCGUAAUUUUAUAAGGCAAAUAGUA